AUUGAACGCUGGCGGCAGGCCUAACACAUGCAAGUCGAGCGAGCGGCGGACGGGUGAGUAAUGUAUGGGGACUGCCCGAUCGAGGGGGAUAACUACUGGAAACGGUGGCUAAUACCGCAUACUAUCGGAUAACCCAUAUGGGAUUAGCUAGUAGGUAAGGGUAUGGCUUACCUAGGCGACGCUCACUAGCUGGUCUGCAAGGAUGAUCAGCCACACUUGGUCUGAGAUUCGGCCCAGAUUCCUACGUAGGCAGCAGUGGGGAAUAUUGCACAAUGGGCGCAAGCCUGAUGCAGCCAUGCCGCGUGUAUGAAGAAGGCCCUAGGGUUGUAAAGUACUUUCAGGCGGGAGGCGUUACCGACAGAAGAAGCACCGGCUAACUCCGUGCCAGCAGCCGCGGUAAUAC
rnacentral:rRNA from 1 species